rnacentral:rRNA from 1 species
UACGAGGGGAGCAAGCGUUGUUCGGAUUUACUGGGCGUAAAGGGCGCGUAGGCGGCGUGACUAGUCACUUGUGAAAUCUCCGGGCUUAACUCGGAACGGUCAAGUGAUACUGUCGUGCUAGAGUACAGAAGGGGCAACUGGAAUUCUCGGUGUAGCGGUGAAAUGCGUAGAUAUCGGAAGGAACACCGGUGGCGAAAGCGGCGCGCUGGACCGCUUCUGACGCUGAGGCGCGAAAGCCAGGGGAGCAAACGGG